rnacentral:rRNA from 1 species
CGUAGGUGGCAAGCGUUGUCCGGAAUUACUGGGUGUAAAGGGCGUGUAGGCGGGAAGAUAAGUCAGAUGUGAAAUUCCGGGGCUCAACCCCGGCACUGCAUCUGAAACUAUUUUUCUUGAGUGCUGGAGAGGAAAGCGGAAUUCCUAGUGUAGCGGUGAAAUGCGUAGAUAUUAGGAGGAACACCAGUGGCGAAGGCGGCUUUCUGGACAGUAACUGACGCUGAGGCGCGAAAGCGUGGGGAGCAAACAGGAUUAGAUACCCUGGUAGUCCACGCUGUAAACGAUGGAUACUAGGUGUAGGAGGUAUCGACCCCUUCUGUGCCGCAGUUAACACAAUAAGUAUCCCACCUGGGGAGUACGGCCGCAAGGUUG